rnacentral:snRNA from 1 species
AUGCCCGCGGCUUCUCCU